GCGCAGGCAAGGCAGGCACCUUACCGUUAGCGCCACCGCCCGGCCCCAGAAAUUGAACUGAUUUUGGGGGUACCCCAUCUAAGUGGAUAUGGGAGACCACGGUUUUCAGUACAACA